rnacentral:rRNA from 1 species
UACGGAGGGGGGCUAGCGUUGUUCGGAAUUACUGGGCGUAAAGCGCGCGUAGGCGGCUUUGUAAGUUAGAGGUGAAAGCCCGGAGCUUAACUCCGGAACUGCCUUUAAGACUGCAUCGCUAGAAUUGUGGAGAGGUAAGUGGAAUUCCGAGUGUAGAGGUGAAAUUCGUAGAUAUUCGGAAGAACACCAGUGGCGAAGGCGACUUACUGGACACAUAUUGACGCUGAGGUGCGAAAGCGUGGGGAGCAAACAGG